rnacentral:lncRNA from 9 species
UUUUUUUUUUUUUUUUUUUUUGGUUGUUGUUGGUCUCAGCUGUGGGUAUUCAAGAUAUGGAUGCAUUUGUUGGCUUUGAAGCAGAUAGAUGGCCCUUGAAGGUAAUUGGACUUUUUCCUGCCAGCAUGUCUCUCAACUUUUCCGAAGGGAGGGCAGGGAACAAUAAGGCAGUUACUGGGGCUAGUGGCCUUGUACGCGACAUUUCUGCUUUUUGAGUUUAAUUUUACUCUGCCUAGGAGCACACAAGAGCAGCUUUCUUUUUUAGGGCUGCACCCACGGCAUAUGGAAGUUCCCAGGCUAGUGGUGGAAUGGGAGCUGUAGCUGCCAGCCUACGCCACAGCCACAGCAAUGCAGGAUCCUUAACCCAGGGAUCCAACCUGCAUCCUCGUGGACACUAGUCAGGUUCAUUACCACUGAGCCAUGAUGGGAACUCCAAGAGCAGCCUUUCAAAAAAAAAAAAAACCCAAAAAACAACGCCCCCUCCUCCCCAAAUCCAGGGGAGUUUACCUAUUUUAAUUUUUGUACUAGUUUACCAGGGAGGUCCUGGUACUAGACUAGGAACUUUUAGCUUAUCGUGAACAGGGAAAAGGAAAGAAUCCCUGCUGAAUUCAGGGGCCAUUUGGUUGCAAGAUGCAGAAACUGACUGGCACCAGUUUAAGCAAGUGGAAUCUAAGACCUGAAAGUACAGCUGAGCUAAUGAGGGCUUGGAAUUGGAAGCUAGGAGGUCUUCCGGAAGCAAGAUGCCCGUUCUUUUCAUCGUUCUCUCAUGCCCGCUCUUGACUGCUCUUUCUCUCCAUAGUGUAUUUCAUUGCCCCUCUUCUAGGAUAUCUGCUUCAUCCUCUUCCCCUUCCUGUGGUCGGGUUUUCUUGGCUUGCUCGUGCAUCCACACGAUCCCCAAAUUUCCAGCCUUGAGUGUCUCCAUUUCCUCUGGACUGCCUCUCCGCUCCCAGUGACUACUGCUAAUUACUGCAGUUUUGCUCUCUGUUUAAUUGAGAGAGAGGAGCCCUAAUUGGCUCAGUUUGGGUCAGACGUCCAGCUCAUGCCAAGUCAGGUUUGAUGGGUGUGGUGGCACCAGGACCACUAAAUCUAUCACUUACCUUUGUAGACUCUAUGAGGGUAGCAUUGCGAAGAAGAGCAUGUUCGCUGGGCAUUUAGGCACCCAUCCUAAUUGCGAUAUAGUAGGAUCCGGUAUUUCUCUCUCUCUCACACACACACGAGGAAAUGGUUUAAUGACAAGCAAAUGGUAUCACAUGUGAAAUAUGGCUGAUACAGAACACCUGAGUUCAGCGGUCCUUAAGCACUAGAGGACAUACCCACCCUUGGAGAGCCUGUUAAAGAUGCCGAUGCCGGGGCUUCCUUCAGGGCCCCCGACUGAGUGGUGUGGCAACAGGAACCAGUACUUUUCAAUAAGCCCCUCAGGUGAGUCCACUGAAAGUGGUCCCCAUACCUCAUCUUGAGAAAGCCUUGGUUUCUCAGCUUAUUGUGCGCGUGUAUUUGGGUGUGACAAAGUGACAGGAGUGAAGGAUUUCUGGAACACUUCGUUUCGGUGGGGAACAAGGACCUCUGACUCCCUCGUAAUGACGGGAACAGGUUAGGCGGCGAGAAUGAACUGCAUCUUACAUCUAAGCUUCCACUGCGAUCUGGUCACGUGGGUGUAUAAACAGUUCGGGAACCUAUUCAGGGAAACCCCAAGUGCUUUCAUUUUAGUAGAUGUAGUUCCUGUCUGUAAAAGAAAAGGUAAGUUAAUUAUGAAAUAACAUGGUUGUAUUAAUAAUGUCGUUCCAGUCAGCGCGACGGUGAAACAUGCCAGAGUUGAUUAUGUUAGUUCGCCUGGGAGGGUUGACACUAAACUGUCAGGAGUGACAUUGAGAGAAGUCUCAGUGCCAUUAUUCCUACCUCACAGGAGCAUCAUCAGAAAGGACAAUUUAAUUUCUUUCAUCCUGGUUUCUAGGGUUUCAUACCUUCCCGAAAAUGCUAAUUUCGAAGAGCGCGGAUUGACUUUUUCAUCCCCAAGUUAAAAAUACACUCCACGUUUGCUGGCUUGCUGCUUCAUGUGUAUUUAAGAAUGGUUUCUGCUUUGCUGUUGGGCCAAACACCUACCUGACAACACCCAGGGUUUGGCAUGCUUUAUUGGAUGGAAAAAACAAAGCAGUGGAGGAAAAACGAAAUUAAAAAGAAAUUAAGAUGUGAGCUGUAUACAGCCAAGUACAUCAUCUUCUUUCCACAAGAAGCACAGAGGGUGGUUUUUCCAGGCGCACACAGGCGUGUGGCACCUGUGUUCAUUUAAAUGAUUACACAUUCAACAAAAUUUGAAUGUGUGAUGUGCAAUCAUUUGAAUCGCUCAUUAUACAUUAAAAUAAAUUGACACAAACACAACUCGUUCUCUGCUGCUUUUGAGAAAUGAAGUAAAUUAAAUGAAAGAACUGAAAUGAAGGUGCUGCCAGGCUGAAGAUCCCACAUACAAUAGAGUCAGAAAAUCCAACAUUCUGUCUUUGACCAUGAUCUUAUAACUUUCAGUGCUGGUGUGCAGUUAGGAAAGCAGAAAAAGCAGGGGAGGGUCUGCCCCCCUGCCCAGGACCAUCCUGCCUGGGGCUCCCAGACCAUUUACUCCUCACUGGGCUUUGGGCACUAGCCCAGAGGACCAUGUAGCACAAAGGAAAACAGUAGGGAAAACAUUAAGGAAUAAGGCAAGUGGAAAGAGCAUUGUCCUCAGGGGAAGUCCAGGUGUUUUUCCCAGCUCUUCUGCUAUAACUGCCUAUAGUUGCUAUGUCUUCUUUUUUUUUUUUUAAUUGGUUAAUGAUUUCAGCAACCUACUAGAAUGGGGCUUCUGACUGCAUCCAUCCCCUGCAACUGUUUCAAGGCUCUUCAUCUUGCCAAAUCUAAAUGUCCCUUCUUUCUGGCCUUUCUCGACCUGUCAGCUUGAAAAGGAUGACCCCUGCCUCCUACCUGAAACAUCUCUUGCCUUCCACAACGACACUAGUUUUCCUCCUUUCUCAGGACAGUUCCUUCCGAAUCGCUUCCUCCUCCUUCCCUAAUCAAUGUUGGGAGGAUUGACAAGUGCCAGAGCUGCGUGUGGUCUUCUUUUCUCUCUCUAGGAGAGCAUAUCCAGUCUUACACAGGCAUGCAGAUGAAUCCAGACUAAGUGGAAAGGCAUCCUGAACUCUGCAUUCAUAUAUCCAAUGCUUACCUGACAGCCAGUCUUGGAGGUCUUCUUAAGAUCUGAAACUUAAAACCUGGUCAAAAAUAGAACUCUGAAUUUUGUACUGACUUUUUUUUUUUUUUUUUGUCUUUUUAGGGUCCCACCUGCAGCAUAUGGAAGUUCCCAGGCUAGGAGUUGAAUCAGAGCUGCAGCUGCCAGCCUAUGCCCCAGCCAUAGCAACGUGGGAUCCAAGCCACAUCUGCAAACUAUGCUGCAGCGUGUGGCAACAUUGGAUCCUUAACCCACUGAGCGAGGCAGGGGAUCAAACCCACAUCCUCAUGGAUACUAGUGGGGUUCUUAACCUGCUGAGCCACAAAUGGACUCCUAUACUCAUCUCUUUUUUUCAUCUACCUAGUUGCUCAGCCAAAAAUAAAAAAGUUAUUUUAAACUCCUUUUUCUCCCUCGCUUCAUCCCACCUCCAAUUCAUGAGCAAGUCCAAACUUGCUACAUCAAAAUGUUUCACAAAGCCCUCAGUCACCAUUGCCCUUCUUCCUGACAACUAUGGUUAGCUGUCUCACAGGUUUCUCUCCUUCUAGUAGUAGCCAGAAUAUUCUUUUCCACCAAAUUUUCUCUGUCUUUUCUGAUAGCACCCUUCUCAAGCCACCAUCGUGUUUUUCCUCACAGCUCUGCCUUUGAAUUGAUCUCCUAACUGUGACCAGAAUACAAAUACGUUUGACAUUUCCUACAGCAACUCCCCAUUGCAUUUAGAAUAAAAUUUGAAUUUUACCCUAUCAUACAAAGCCUUGAAUGAUCUUCGACUGAAGUCUAGUGACCACACUUUCUACAAUACUUAAUUUCACAGAAUGUUCUUUUAAAAACUUAAAUCAGAUUUUGUCAUUCCCCAGAUUAAGAACCUUCAAAGUCUAGUAAUCCUUGCCCAUUGUUAUAUCUGUAAAGAAUAUUUUUGGCUCCAAGUAAUGGAAAAACUGAUUAAUGGUGCCUUAAAAAAGGAUUAAAUUUUCUCACAGAGCCAGCAAUCCUGAGUAGGCGGUCGGUGCUAUUGAUAUAGCUGUUUAAUGAUUCUGUCAAGUACUCAAGAGUCUCUUUUUUUUUUCUCUUCCAUCUUUCAUAGGUUAACACUUGACCUUAUGCCUAUUGCCUCAUGGACCCAAGAUGGCUCUUAUAGCUCCAGGCUAGGGGUCUAAUUGGAGCUGUAGCCACCGGCCUAUGCUAGAGCCACGUCUGCAACCUACACCACAGCUCACGGCAACACCGGAUCCUUAACCCACUGAGCAAGGCCAGGGAUUGAACCUGCAUCCUCAUGGGUCCUAGUCGAAUUCGUUAACCACUGUGCCACGACGGUAACUCCUCACCAUAACUAUUGGUGUGUGUGUGUGUGUGUGUGUGUGUGUGUUGAAGUUUGUAUUAGUUUGCUAAGAUUGCUAUAACAAAGCAUCACAGACUGAGUGUCUCAGUAUCUUAGUUCGGGCUGCUCUAACAAAAAAUAGCAUAGACUGGGUAGCUCACAUAACAGAAGUGUGUUUCUCAUACCGAAGGCUGGGAGGUCCAAGAUCAAAGCGACUGCCUAUUCAAUUACUGGUAAGAACCUCCUGCCUGGUUUGCAGAUGACACUUUCUUGCUGUGCCCUCACAUGGCAGGGACAGAAAAAGGAAGAAAACUCUCUUGUGUCUUCCUGUAAAGAUACUAAUUCCAUGGGGGGGGAGGGGGGCUCUACUUCCAUGACCUUCUUACCUCCAAAAGCCAUCACACUGGAGACUAAGGUUUCAACAUAUGAAUUUGGACGAACAUUCAGUCCACAGCACUUAAACAAUAGAAAUUGAUUGUCUUAUAGUUCUGGAGACUAGAAGUCUGAGAUUAAGGUGUUAGCAGAGUUGCUACCUUCUGAGAACUGUAAAGGAAGGAGCUGUUCCAAGCCUUUCUCCUUGACUUGUAGAUGGCUGCCUUCUCCCUGGAGCUUCAAAUCAUGUUCUCUUUGUAAAUGUCUAUAUCCAUAAGUUCUUGUUCUUUUUUUUCUGGCCACCCUGCAGCAUGCAGAAGUUCCCAGGCCAGGGAUCAGUCCUGAGCCACAGCAAUAACCAGAGUCCCUGCAGUGACAAUGUCAGAUCCUUAACUUGCUGAGCCACCAGGGAACUCAAAAUUCCUAUUCUUAAAAGGACAUCAGUCAUAUUGGGUUAGGGUUCACCCUCAUGGCUUCAUUUUAACUUGAUGACCUCUGUAAUGAUCCUAUCUCUAAAUAAAGUCAUAUUCUGAGGUUCUGGGGGUUAGUGAUUCAACAUAUAAAUUUAGGGAGAGGGCACAAUGCAACCAUAGCAAGUGCAACAAUUAUCUGUUGAGUGGAUGGAUUUUAAUGACAGCAACCAUUUACUGAAUGUUGACAACAUGCCAAGUGCUCCAUGAAGUGCUUCAUUUUAUUCUUUUAAUUUGCACAGUAAUCCAAUGAAAAGGGUACUACAUGUAUUCUUUUAGAAGUGAAAAAACAUCACAGCAAGAGAUGAGUGAAGAUAUGGAAGUAGAGCGGAUGUAAGGAAAGAAAACAAAGGCUGGUGUGUCUCCAGUAACAUGAGGAAAACAUCCUCUUUAUUACCUUUGCUUGGUCACACUGGACCAUGCGUUGACAAGGAGACUGAAAUAGAGAGUUUGUCACGGGGUCAGCCCACCUGUUUCUGCAGCAUCCAUAUUUUAGGCUUCCACAUUACACGGUUCCUGUCACUGCCACUGAAGUAUGAAGCAGGGAGUUCCUGUUGUGGUUCAAAGGGUCAAGAACCUGACCUAGUAUCCACGAGGAUGCGGGUUUGAUUCCUGGCCUUGCUCAGUGGGUUAAGUAUCCAGUGUUAUUGCAAGCUUCAGUGUAGCUUGCAGAUAUGACUCAGAUCUGGCAUUGCUAUGGCUGUAGCAUAGGCUGGCAGCUGCACCUCUGACUUGACCCCUAGCAUGGAAAUUUUCAUAUGCCACAGCUAUAAAAAGAAACCAACCAACCAAAAGAAGUAUGAAGCAGAUACAGAUAACACAUAAGCACAUAGCCGUGGUCAUGUUCCAAUAAAACUUUAUUUACCAAAGCCAGUGGCUUAGCCAGAUUUGGCCUGUGGGCCAUCAUGUGCUAAAACCUUGGUUGAGGAAAUUUUCACUUGAUUUUCUUUCCUUUUGUUUUCCUAAAAGUCAAUUGGUUUUUUGAAUUUGGAAAGCUGUCUUGUAGAGAAGGUUGUACAAAACCCGAAGGGGACCCUCAGAGAGUCUACAAGUGUCCUC